GACGAACGCUGGCGGCGUGCUUAACACAUGCAAGUCGAACGGAAAGGCCCUGCUUUUGUGGGGUUCUCGAGUGGCGAACGGGUGAGUAACACGUGAGUAACCUGCCCUUGACUUUGGGAUAACUCUAGGAAACUGGGGCUAAUAUCGGAUAGGAGCUCCUGCUGCAUGGUGGGGGUUGGAAAGUUUCGGCGGUUGGGGAUGGACUCGCGGCUUAUCAGCUUGUUGGUGGGGUAGUGGCUUACCAAGGUUUUGACGGGUAGCCGGCCUGAGAGGGUGACCGGCCACAUUGGGACUGAGAUACGGCCCAGACUGCUACGGGAGGCAGCAGUGGGGAAUAUUGCACAAUGGGCGGAAGCCUGAUGCAGCAACGCCGCGUGCGGGAUGACGGCCUUCGGGUUGUAAACCGCUUUCGCCUGUGACGAAGCGUGAGUGACGGUAAUGGGUAAAGAAGCACCGGCUAACUACGUG
rnacentral:rRNA from 1 species